UUCAAAAGGUAUAAAAGCUUCAAAACUAUAUUCAGUUGCUGGGUUCUGCUGAUGUUAGCAGCUCAACUCUUCUGAAGCAACUGUGUUAGCUGUCCACUGGGAAGUCAAUAUGAGAGCUAUCCAUUAUGGUAUUCUUACAUGUUAUUUUCCACUCCUGAAGGCCGCAGCUGUACUUGUCUGGUCUUCUGAUCUGGUACACUACAGAUUACGGCUUUGUAAAUAUUUUUCUUGAUACCUUCUGGCCUUUUGAGGGGCAAUGAUCUCAAGAGCACCAUGGACGCACUUGCGAUAUGAGAAGUCCUCAUUUGUCCCGUCUGUUCUAACCAGAGAAAAGCAGCGAGAAUCUUGAUAUUCUGGAUGAUUUACAACCUUAAUAUCUUUGGCUCCAGAUCCAAUUUUCUCAUCUCGUCGAGGAUGAAAAUGUAAGGCCAUCAUCAAGG
rnacentral:misc_RNA from 1 species